UUUAGGGCUACAAAUUUUGAGUUUGUUUUAUAAAAACAUACAAAAGGCGACAACCGCACAGCAAGUUAAGCAAACACGGAAAGUGACCGCCAGAAACCCUGACUCCGUUCUGCUGACGUUUCGGAUCCAGAAUCUACUUCCAAAAUAUUUCAGUCAGAGAGCAGCGCUCUGAUUGGUCAGCUCGACUGUCACUCACAAACUACCCGAGCUGUGAGAGAGACGAGUGCAGGAAAACAAAUAGGGCAACAAUCCUCUGUUGAAAGACAAAACUGCUGCAAAGUUGUGUUCGUCCAAACAUUGUGAGUAUUUUCAAAACACUGCAUACAAAGGACUCAUCACAGGCUCAAUACAGGAGAGG